rnacentral:tRNA from 1 species
CUGGGUGUAGCGCAGUUGGUAGCGCGCUUGUCUGGGGGGCAAGAGGUCGGGUGUUCAAGUCACCUCACUCAGACCA